rnacentral:rRNA from 1 species
CCUACGGGUGGCAGCAGUCGAGAAUCAUUCACAAUGGGGGAAACCCUGAUGGUGCGACGCCGCGUGGGGGAAUGAAGGUCUUCGGAUUGUAAACCCCUGUCAUGUGGGAGCAAAUUAAAAAGAUAGUACCACAAGAGGAAGAGACGGCUAACUCUGUGCCAGCAGCCGCGGUAAUACAGAGGUCUCAAGCGUUGUUCGGAAGCACUGGGCGUAAAGCGUGCGUAGGCUGUUUCGUAAGUCGUGUGUGAAAGGCGCGGGCUCAACCCGCGGACGGCACAUGAUACUGCGAGACUAGAGUAAGGGAGGGGGAACCGGAAUUCUCGGUGUAGCAGUGAAAUGCGUAGAUAUCGAGAGGAACACUCGUGGCGAAGGCGGGUGCCUGGACAUUAACUGACGCUGAGGCACGAAGGCCAGGGGAGCGAAAGGGAUUAGAUACCCCUGUAGUC